GUCCAGCUGACGAGUCCCGAAUAGGACGAAAUGCGCCUUAUCCUGGAU
rnacentral:hammerhead_ribozyme from 1 species